rnacentral:rRNA from 1 species
CGUGUCGUGAGAUGUUGGGUUAAGUCCCGCAACGAGCGCAACCCUCGCCGUUAGUUGCCAGCACGUUUGGGUGGGCACUCUAACGGGACUGCCGGUGUCAAACCGGAGGAAGGUGGGGAUGACGUCAAGUCAUCAUGGCCCUUACGCGCAGGGCUACACACGUGCUACAAUGGCGGUGACAGUGAGUUAAUCUCUAAAAACCGUCUCAGUUCGAAUUGGGGUCUGCAACUCGACCCCAUGAAGUCGGAAUCGCUAGUAAUCGUGGAUCAGCAUGCCACGGUGAAUACGUUCCCGGGCCUU